AUAAGCAUAUGAAAAGUUGUUCCACAUCAUACGCCAUCAGGAAAACGCAAAUUAAAACAGCAGUGAGAUACCUCUGCACACCUAUUAGAAUGGCUAAAAUCCAGAACCCUAAAAGCCUAAAUGCUGGAGAGGAUGUGGAGAAAUA